rnacentral:misc_RNA from 1 species
UUAACUAUUAUCAAGUACUCAGACGACACUAAAUCAACGAGUUUUUUAAAAUCCCCUGGCAGGCGCUGGCCAGCCUGAAGCCGGCGGCGCAGGGCGGGCCUGCCAAAGCAACAAAGAGUAUGGUAAACAAAGGGUGGGAGAUCUGUUAACCCCGAAGGGCAAGUUCUCUUUAAUGAUCCUUCCGCAGGUUCACCUACGGAAA